GGGGAAGUGGUGUAGUGGUAGCCACGCUGGUCUUAGAAACCAGUGCUGAAAAGCGUGAGGGUUCGAAUCCCUUCUUCCCCACCA
rnacentral:tRNA from 1 species